ensembl:lncRNA
UACAUUUCUUACCCUCUCCGUCUCUCCUUGCCUCCCCCCACCCCUGUGUCCCCUGUUCUCCAUGGACCACUGACAGCAUGCCUGCACAGAAAUGCGGCGUUACCUUCAAAUUAUGCAGGAGCGACUCGUGCUCGUCCGUGGGUUGGCUGCACGCCGCUCGACAUGUGUCAGGGCCGCCACGUCUCCGCUGAGCUAAUGAUGCUACACCGGACAGCCCACUGUCCUUCUGAGCGUGCGUGCGUGUGUGAGCCCAGACGUGACAUCGUCAGUAGAGACCCUCCAUCUGAUUAAAACAAAACCAAACCAGAAAAAGCAAGCGGGGGAAAAAGAAAAGAAAAAACCGGCACAGAUGCGUGUCAGGUUAAGCUGGCGAUGGGGUGGACAUGCUCGCGUUGUUUGUAAGGUGGGAAGGUGAAACAUAGUUUUGAGUGUCUGACAUGCAAGACAAGAAAAAAAAAAAAAUACUGGACAUCUUGUAAGGCAGGACAUUGUGUAAACUUUUCUGGACUUUGACUGAAAAAAAAAAAAAACCCUGGACUGAAAAAAUGGUGGUUUUGUGCUUUUGCAGACGCACUUAAAGAUGCCAGAGAAGCUGUGGGUGGAUUUCAGCCCGGGUUUUGGUGCAACUCCCCUCCGUUUUGCUAUCGAGUCCAAUACAGCGGCUGAGCGGAUGGGCUGAAGUGAAGCUGGUCGUCUCUGCUCGGCGUGAGUGAUGAGCAGUAGAAUAGACAGGCUGUCACAGCACACCUGUAGGCCUGGCAGCCGAGUCCAUCAUUGGGCUGAGCCUUCACAGAGAUUAAAAACACUGCAUCCAUUAGGCCUUGUGUCAGCCGUCAUUAUUCUAUAAAGAAGCGAUUUUGUCACAUCUACAUUCUUCAGGCCGCUAUCCGCACGCAGAUGAAUAAGCGGGAUGUUCCAUCUCCAAACACGGCUCACUUUUGACAGGAACACAACCAUUUGUGACGCCAUCUCCCCAAUACUUCACACAUCCAUUGGGAAGGAAGCAUCAAAUAAGUCUUAAUGCAAUGAUCCCGCAGUCCAUCACCUGAUGGGACUUUAAGUUUUCCAGUCAUAUUUAUUCUCGGAAAUGUACGUUUCGUCCUAGAGCUGUCAUUCAAACGGGCUCACAAUUUAUUCUGCCAUGUGCAUUUAUCUGACAG